CCUACGGGGGGCAGCAGUGGGGAAUAUUGGACAAUGGGGGGAACCCUGAUCCAGCCAUGCCGCGUGUGUGAAGAAGGCCCUCGGGUUGUAAAGCACUUUCAGUGAGGAAGAACGCCUGGUGGUUAAUACCCAUCAGGAAAGACAUCACUCACAGAAGAAGCACCGGCUAACUCCGUGCCAGCAGCCGCGGUAAUACGGAGGGUGCGAGCGUUAAUCGGAAUUACUGGGCGUAAAGCGCGCGUAGGUGGCUUGAUAAGCCGGUUGUGAAAGCCCCGGGCUCAACCUGGGAACGGCAUCCGGAACUGUCAAGCUAGAGUGCAGGAGAGGAAGGUAGAAUUCCCGGUGUAGCGGUGAAAUGCGUAGAGAUCGGGAGGAAUACCAGUGGCGAAGGCGGCCUUCCGGACUGACACUGACACUGAGGUGCGAAAGCGUGGGUAGCAAACAGGAUUAGAUACCCUGGUAGUC
rnacentral:rRNA from 1 species